ensembl:lncRNA
UUGGUACACGUUGGGUUUCUAGAUUCUGUGUUUGGUUUCUAGACUCUGUGUUUGGUAGGCGUUGGGUUUCUAGACUCUGCGUUGGGUUUCUAGACUCUGUGUUUGGUAGGCGUUGGGUUUCUAGACUCUGUGUUUGGUUUCUAGACUCUGUGUUUGGUUUCUAGACUCUGUGUUUGGUUUCUAGACUCUGUGUUUGGUAGGCAUUGGGUUUCUAGAUUCUGUGUUCGGUUUCUAGACUCUGUUUGGUAGGCGUUGGGUUUCUAGACUCUGUGUUUGGUAGGCGUUGGGUUUCUAGACUCUGUGUUUGGUAGGCGUUGGGUUUCUAGAUUCUAGAUUCUAGACACGUUAAUUAAUGCAGUGUUUUUGAUUAUUAACCACAUGAACUUUUUUCAUUCUGACUCAGUCCUCAACCUUUAGACUUCCAUGGCUUUUAACAGUAGGACCUAGUGAGGUUGAGAACAGGACAGCACAGUUUUGUGUCUCUCUGUGUGUGUGUUUGCGUGUGUGUGUGUGUGUGUGUGUGUUUUCUAUAUCUGAUAUACCCUUUCUCAUAUUUUGCAUACUUUGCUGCGUCUUGUAGUUCAGAGCAGUGCGGAGGAAUUAUGGGGUUAAUGACGCAUUCAAAUUGACCAAAUGGGUAAGGUUGAGUGCUCCAGCAGUUGAAGUUGGGAAAACACUGCUGCUAGGAAACUGGGAAAUAUGGAGACCAAAAAAUAAGAUCCCAGAUAUUCAGAUAGUUAGGACAUAGCGAUUAAGUCUUACCCAGACAAUGACUUCGGCCUUUCCCUCGGGCUGCAAUCACACUUAGCACUGGCCACUAAUGUAACUUCUUGUGUUCCAACCUAGUGACAAACAUCAACAUUCUGCCAUGUACAAACAGGUGUGGAGAAAGUGCUGAGAAAUGGUACUUAAAUAAAAGUAGGUACUGUGUCAAAAUCUUGUGACCUCACUAAAUCAUUAACCCAUAUUUGAUGAGGUUAAGUGUGUGCUAGUGUGUGUUGUGUAGGGAAUAAAACACGGUGGGGUGGUAUGAUUGACACAUCACACGUUUUAUCUGUUUAUAGUUACAUUUAUUGUUGUGGAACGUCUGAGAAAGAACUGUGUUCUGUCCCUGUGUUAUAGCAGCUAUAAACACUCCCUCGUCAGUCUCUCUUUUUCUGUCUUGAAGUUGAUGAGACAAAAAAUGCAGCUUGUCG